UACGUAGGGCGCAAGCGUUAUCCGGAAUUAUUGGGCGUAAAGAGCUCGUAGGCGGCUUUGUAAGUUAGAGGUGAAAGCCCGGGGCUCAACUCCGGAAUUGCCUUUAAGACUGCAUCGCUAGAAUUGUGGAGAGGUAAGUGGAAUUCCGAGUGUAGAGGUGAAAUUCGUAGAUAUUCGGAAGAACACCAGUGGCGAAGGCGACUUACUGGACACAUAUUGACGCUGAGGUGCGAAAGCGUGGGGAGCAAACAGG
rnacentral:rRNA from 1 species